CUCUCUCUGAAAAUUUUUUGACGUCCUAUUUUCCCUCUUAUACUACCCGAACCCUAAACCUCUCGCCUCAUACGAUCUUUCUCAAGAGCGUGGGUGGUUGCUGCUGCUUGUGCAGAUUGCUCGGUGGAGGCAGAGGCGGAGGUGCUCCUCCUCCUCCUCCUUCUCCUCUCUUCUCCGCCUCCCCCUCUCUUCUCCUCCUCCUCUCUUCUCCGCCUCCCCCUCCUCUUCCACUUUCUCUUUACCUAAACUUCUACAGGAGACGAGGCUGAGACGACGCACCUACGAUCCCUACCUAGCGCCUCUAAUCGCCUUCGCCUCUUCCAGAUCGACCUCCUUGAUCCGGACUCCAUCCUCGCAGCCAUCCGCGGCGACUCCGGGGUGUUCCACCACGCCUUGCCUUGCAUCAUCACUCACGUCCAGGAUCCCCAGAGGGAACUACUAGAUCCAGCGGUGACGGGGACUCUCAACGUUCUCCGCGCGGCCAAGGAGAGCGGAGUGCUCCGGGUGGUCGUCACAUCGUUGAUCUCUGCCAUCGUCCCCAGUCCUGGAUGGCCAGCAGAUCGGGUCAAGGACGAGAGCUGUUGGACUAACCUUGAUUACUGUCGGUAGAAAGAGUGAACUUUACCAGCUGUAGGACAAGGACGACUAGGUAAAGGAUGCUGUGAAAGAACAAUAUGGCAUGUGGGCUGGUGAUAGAUUAUUUUCAAAUACUAUUUGUCUACUGGAGUUGCAUCACCUUUGAGUUUAUGUCCAUCGAAUGGCUUGAUAUUGACAAUGUCAUGUGUCUAGUAAGAUAUAUAUGGACAUUAGAGUGGCUCUAAUUCCAGUGUUCUUAAGUCCGUACUACUAAGCGUUGAGAUUUUUUGGUCUGUUUGAGAGUUUUUAAUGUUUACAUUUUAGUUCCUCAUACGUUUGUAACUAUUGAGCUUUUAUAAUUAUGCAAUUGGAGAAAUGUUAGGGAUAA